GCCUAUAAUGGUUCGUGUCGGUGAGUUGGACUUCUCAUCUGACAACGAGGCGCGGUCUAGACCAGCCGAUUACAGAGUAAAGCGCGUCAUAGUUCAUCCGAAGUUUAAGCGCAAUUCCCUAGAGCGCUAUAACGACAUAGCCAUCAUUGAGACUGUGGAUAAGAUGCAGUUCAACGACGUGGCUUCUUCCCGCUGUGCCUUUCUGACAGAAGGCCAUCUGUGGGGUCCAUCGCAACUGGCUCUGGCUUCGGCUUAGUAAAACAGACUCAUCGUUCAACCCACGCACAGGAAGCUGAUCUUAGGAUAUUAGACUCAAGACUUUGCGAGGCUCGGUACGCAAGCGAGGGUCUGGGUGACACUAUCAGGCACCAGUAUCCUCGGUUCAUACAGACAUCCGACAUUAUCUGUGCUGCCUUUUCCCGGUACAGAUGCCUGCCAGGGCGAUUCAGGGGGACCCCUGUACCAGGACGCCAACGGGCGGCGUUACUUAGUCGGCGUCAUAAGUCAAGGUAUCCCUUGCAGUGGACAAGUAUACCUUACCUGGAUUCUACGUUAGCGUCGCAGACCACAUCGAUUUUAUCAAUCAUGUCAUCUACCGAGUAGUGCUUAAGAGCUUAUUCAUUUCGCUUAACUAAGGAGCCAGAUAGGGUAUGCGGUCAUUCGCGUAUUUUGUCAUGCUCUCUGAAAUCCUAUAUAAAUGAUCCGAUUGAACUUCUAGCAUCGUUAAGACUUUUUAAGUACAGGUGAUAGUAACAGGUAAGUUUGGGUCAACUUCUUCGGAAAUAAUUUUAACAAAUGACGCCAAUGACGACCGAACUCCAGAUCUCAAUUAGGCCUAGUGUAUCAGCCUAGUAGGUGUGGUGAUAUGUUUUUGUAAGUGAAGAAUCUGAAAAUUAAUUAAGAUUCCAUUAUUUCUUUGUUUUGAAGUAUUGGCUAAUCCAAUGCGUAAUCUCCUUAGCAGAGGUAAUAAAAGACAGUAAUAAUCCC